GAUGAACGCUGGCGGCGUGCCUAAUACAUGCAAGUCGAGCGAAUGGAUUAAGAGCAUGCUCUUAUGAAGUUAGCGGCGGACGGGUGAGUAACACGUGGGUAACCUGCCCAUAAGACUGGGAUAACUCCGGGAAACCGGGGCUAAUACCGGAUAACAUUUUGAACCGCAUGGUUCGAAAUUGAAAGGCGGCUUCGGCUGUCACUUAUGGAUGGACCCGCGUCGCAUUAGCUAGUUGGUGAGGUAACGGCUCACCAAGGCAACGAUGCGUAGCCGACCUGAGAGGGUGAUCGGCCACACUGGGACUGAGACACGGCCCAGACUCCUACGGGAGGCAGCAGUAGGGAAUCUUCCGCAAUGGACGAAAGUCUGACGGAGCAACGCCGCGUGAGUGAUGAAGGCUUUCGGGUCGUAAAACUCUGUUGUUAGGGAAGAACAAGUGCUAGUUGAAUAAGCUGACACCUUGACGUACCUAACCAGAAAGCCACGGCUAACUACGUGCCAGCCGCCGCGGUAA
rnacentral:rRNA from 1 species